UAAGUGUGACUGUGCAAUCAGCUUGUGCACU
rnacentral:piRNA from 1 species